rnacentral:rRNA from 1 species
GAUGAACGCUGGCGGCGUGCCUAACACAUGCAAGUCGAGCGACCAGACGAUGAGCUUUCUCCUCUGCCGUUAGCGGCGGACGGGCGGGUAACACGUGGAUAACCUUCUUCUAUUACUUGGAUAACUUCGUGAAACCGCAGCUACUACCACAUCAUAUAUCGAACGGCUUGGAGCAAUAGUUCAUGACGGCUUUCGCGUCUCAUAGAGACGAUGUCGCGUCGGAUUAGCUAGUUGGUAAGGUAACGGCUUACCAAGGCGACGAUGCGUAGCCGAGCUGAGAGGAUGAUCGGCCACACUGGAACUGAGACACGGUCCAGACUCCUACGGGAGGCAGCAGUGGGGAAUAUUCGGCAAAGGGCGAAAGCCUGACGCAGCAACGCCGCGUGAGUGAAGAAGGUCUUCGGGUUGUAAAGCUCUGUUAUUGGGAAAGAACAAAUGUAUAAGUAACUCUCGACGUCUUGACGGUACCCAAUCAGAAAGCCACGGCUAACUACGUG